GAUGAACGCUGGCGGCGUGCCUAAUACAUGCAAGUCGAGCGAACGGACGAGAAGCUUGCUUCUCUGAUGUUAGCGGCGGACGGGUGAGUAACACGUGGAGAACCUACCUAUAAGACUGGGAUAACUUCGGGAAACCGGAGCUAAUACCGGAUAAUAUUUUGAACCGCAUGGUUCAAAAGUUAAAGACGGUCUUGCUGUCACUUAUAGAUGGAUCCGCGCUGCAUUAGCUAGUUGGUAAGGUAACGGCUUACCAAGGCAACGAUGCAUAGCCGACCUGAGAGGGGGAUCCGCCCCCAGUGAACGGAGCAACGCGCCGGAACCAAGAGGGGGGCAGGAUUCGGGAAUUAGGCAGAAGGGGGGAAGGCUGGACGGGGGCCCGCCGCCGGAUUGAAGAAGGCCUGUGGCGCGUAAACCUCUUUUAUGAGGGAAAAAGAUUUGUGCAGGUACCGGGCGAAUUUUUACGGUACCCUAAUAAGAAACCCCGGCCAAACACGUG
rnacentral:rRNA from 1 species